UUGGUCGGCGCUCGCGAUUUGGUUACAGUGGUGGGUGCCAGUGGAGGAGGUUGGCCGGUGCGGGCGGGUGCUGUGAUGGGUACCGGUGGACGAGGCCGGAGGUGCGGGCGGGUGCCGAUGUAGGAGGUCAAUCGGCGGUGCGUUUUUUUGGUCUCCGUCCUGGUUCCCCUGCCGCAUAUGUCGCUCGCAUUCACGUCAACAAACAAGCACAGCUUCCUCCAGCCCACCAGCAGAUGCGAUGUUGCCACCGGCUCUGGUGAGAGGCAGUGGGCGGCCUCCCCGUGCCCCCAAAAUCUAGGUGCCCUCUUCCCUCCCAGGAUACGCAGCAAGGCUAUAUUAGCAAUCUAUACGCAGACGUUGCGUCGUCCUAUUUUUUCUUCUCCCUCUGAUCGUGAGUAGCCAACCCAAGGAGAUCCAGGCAUCAGGCACCAAAUCACGCGUCACCUUGUCACCUUGCAUCCAAAUCAAGGCAGAUGGACUAGGAAGCUUGCUCAAGGAGAAGGCUCGGAUUGCAGGAGGCGCUACUGUGCGCCGCCCGGGCUCUGGCGCCGCUGCAUCUGCAUGUGAGUGUUGUCGGUCAGUCAACUACUGCUAACGUAACACUAGCCAUUAUGUUUCUGCAAUUUAAUAAUAUUCUUGAGUUUUAGAUCUCAUAGAGAUCAAGAACAAAUAGUGAUGCUCCAGUUGAUGAUCUUGGCGAGUGGUUUCCAGAUGAACCGUGCAAUGCCAUAUAAAUGGGGCAAUUAACUCUUGGCUUACUCAUUUGCACAACCAAGUAGAGUAGUAGCUUUGCACUAUGGCAGUGGCAGUACUAUUCAGUAUUGUUUUGAUUUUUGAAGAUACCAAAGAAUAUUUCCA